UUCGAUUCGAGUGGUUGAAGA
ensembl:piRNA 21ur-4703 ncRNA